rnacentral:tRNA from 1 species
GUUUCUUUAGUCUACUAAAGAUGAGGGCUUUUCAAGCCCUAGAACUAAGUGAAACUCUUAGAAGAAACA